AUUUAAAUAGUUUAAAAAAAAUAUUGAUUUGUGAUGUCAAAGAUAUAAUUUAUUAUUUUAAAUA
rnacentral:tRNA from 1 species